ensembl:lncRNA
CUCGGCUGUGUCUGCUCCACCGUCCCUCGCGUCUCAGGAAGCAGGAACGGGACCUGCGGCAGCUGCUGAAGGACCUCCCCGGAGGGUGGGGGGGCCUACUUGGGACCCCUCCCCUAGGAUGGGGUUACCCGUCCAGACAGGUCUUUUCUUCAGCACCAUAUCAGUUUACUAGGAUGCACAGUAGACGAGAACUCUCGCUGUUGCGGGAGCGGGGACACGGCACUGCCUGUGUCGGUACCGCCCCCGCCGGUGCCACCGGGCUUUCCGGGUCGCCCCUCCCGCCGCCUCUAUUGCAGAGGGCAGGCCGAGAGGGGGCACCCUGCUAGGAAGCGCCCCCCCGACUCCAGCCACUCGCCGCUACACGGCUCCAGCUGAGGCCGCACAGCACGGGGCGGCGCCGGUUCUUUUGUGACACUGUCAAGGUUCCCUCUAGGGCUAAACGGAUCGGGGGACGGGGGGGUUAUCUUGUGGUCUUCCUUCCACAGCCCUGGCACCCUUACGGCUGUCCAUUGGCGGCGCAGAAGGGACCGAUACGGCUGCUGCUGUGGUUGCUGGGCAACGAAAUUUUGCGUUUGUUUCAGGGAAGCUGUCGGUAUGCGGUGGCCCCGCUCCGCUCUGCAGCUCCUCGCGGCUGCCCGCGGCCUGCAGGGCUCCCCAUCUCUUCGGGCGCUGGCUGCUACGGCGUCUUUUAGGUUUUUCGAGCUCUGGCUUUGUCACGAUACGGGCUCCGGGGUUCUGGGUACCGGUAGCUCCCUACCGGCGCUUCUGGCUUUGGGCGCGCGCAGCUUCGCACCGGCAUUUCCGGCGUCGCGCUCCGCUCGACUUCCGGCUGCUGCCUGCGCGCCGCAGCUGGACGUGGGUGUGCCAGGCGCGUCCAUGGUGACGAGGAGCGUGUAACAAAGCCAUGGUUUUUGCAGCCGGCGCGCAGGCGGUCCCGGGCACUCCGAGGAUGCACCCGGCGGCGAUAGCGGUGGUUGAGGCGCUCGCGGCACGGGUGAACCCGCGCUUGGUGCAAACGCUGCCGGCGCUGCCGGAGGUGGGGGAGCUCCGAUGGAUAACGGCCGACCCCCGCCUCGGUUUCUCGCCCGUCUUGAGGGGCCGGUGGUGUGAGGCGCCCGCGGCCCCGUGCGCCAGCGGCUCUGCGCGUGGCACGAGCGGGCACGGGUGGCGCCGGGACGGCUCCGGCGGUGGGGCUGUCGGCUUCUCUUCUGACGCUGCGAAGCUUCUGGGAUCAGUUUGUUCCAGAUGCUCCUGUCUAUAAGAGCAGAGGUCAAGCUUUUCUCUUACCAGAUGGGACACAGAAAGAGACAACCUUACCUUUUCUGGCUAAUGAUAAACUGCAGGGAUUGUCCUCCCUGCCAGAUACCUAACCAACACUGUGAAAAAUGGGGAUGGAUCCCCAUGGCAUAACAUGAUCUUCUCAAGGCUGCUGGGAUCUCUGCCCCCUUUGAGCUCUGUGAAAACUCUGACCGCUCUCUUCCUCUUCAGCCCAUAGGAAAAAUUACUCGGGCUUGGAUUACCAGAGGAAUCCUCCACCUCUAAGCAUUUGGGAAAUGGGUGGAUUUGGCAACUCUGCCCUGGGAGAAUUGUUUCAGAUUAUGAAGAUUGAUAGAUUGUGUUUGUGGGACAGGUGCCCCUCUUUUCUGGGGUAUUUUAUUAUAUAAAUAAAAUCAUACACAAAAUACA